UGGGGAAUAUUGCACAAUGGGCGCAAGCCUGAUGCAGCCAUGCCGCGUGUGUGAAGAAGGCCUUCGGGUUGUAAAGCACUUUCAGCGGGGAGGAAGGCGGUGAGGUUAAUAACCUCAUCGAUUGACGUUACCCGCAGAAGAAGCACCGGCUAACUCCGUGCCAGCAGCCGCGGUAAUACGGAGGGUGCAAGCGUUAAUCGGAAUUACUGGGCGUAAAGCGCACGCAGGCGGUCUGUCAAGUCGGAUGUGAAAUCCCCGGGCUCAACCUGGGAACUGCAUUCGAAACUGGCAGGCUAGAGUCUUGUAGAGGGGGGUAGAAUUCCAGGUGUCGCGGUGAAAUGCGUAGAGAUCUGGAGGAAUACCGGUGGCGAAGGCGGCCCCCUGGACGAAGACUGACGCUCAGGUGCGAAAGCGUGGGGAGCAAACAGG
rnacentral:rRNA from 1 species